rnacentral:rRNA from 1 species
GGAAUAUUGGACAAUGGGCGAAAGCCUGAUCCAGCAAUGCCGCGUGAGUGAUGCAGGCCUUAGGGUUGUAAAGCUCUUUUACCCGGGAUGAUAAUGACAGUACCGGGAGAAUAAGCCCCGGCUAACUCCGUGCCAGCAGCCGCGGUAAUACGGAGGGGGCUAGCGGUGUUCGGAAUUACUGGGCGUAAAGCGCGCGUAGGCGGCUUUGUCAGUUAGAGGUGAAAGCCCGAAGCGCAACUUCGGAAUCGCCUUUAAGACUGCAUCGCUAGAAUCGUGGAGAGGUAAGUGGAAUUCCGAGUGUAGAGGUGAAAUUCGUAGAUAUUCGGAAGAACACCAGUGGCGAAGGCGACUUACUGGACACGUAUUGACGCUGAGGUGCGAAAGCGUGGGGAGCAAAC